rnacentral:rRNA from 1 species
GACGAACGCUGGCGGCGUGCUUAACACAUGCAAGUCGAACGGAAAGGCCCCUCUGGGGGUACUCGAGUGGCGAACGGGUGAGUAACACGUGAGUAACCUGCCCUUGACUUCGGGAUAACUUCAGGAAACUGGGGCUAAUACCGGAUAGGAAUCCUUGCUGCAUGGUGGGGGUUGGAAAGCUUCGGCGGUUUUGGAUGGACUCGCGGCUUAUCAGCUUGUUGGUGGGGUAGUGGCUUACCAAGGCUUUGACGGGUAGCCGGCCUGAGAGGGCGACCGGCCACAUUGGGACUGAGAUACGGCCCAGACUCCUACGGGAGGCAGCAGUGGGGAAUAUUGCACAAUGGGCGGAAGCCUGAUGCAGCAACGCCGCGUGCGGGAUGACGGCCUUCGGGUUGUAAACCGCUUUCAGCAGGGGCGAAGCUUGUGGUGACGGUACCUGCAGAAGAAGCACCGGCUAACUACGUG